UCUUCUAAAAAUAAAAGCCAGUGAUUCAAGUUGGCAACUCCGGAAACACAUACUCCAGCCCAGGCAUCCGCCGGGUGGGGGACAAGGAAGGACCCACAAACAGAGAAAUACUCAGAAGAAACAGCUCAGGUGAAACAGAAGCAGAUUGCUCCCAGAGCUGACCCAAGGGCGGGUCCCAGGAGUAAAAACGGCCAAGUUGGAAUUUGAACUCAGAUACGCCGGACUCCAUAGCCUUUUCCCUCCAGCCUCUGUGCCUUAGCCUGAGGUGUGUGUGUGUGUG
rnacentral:lncRNA from 1 species